CUGCUCACAGUGGGCAGAGAAGGCAGUAUCCUGGCUCCUGCCGUCCUUACAGGAGUGAAGACAGAUAGAAUCAACCCUCUUGACCGAGUAUCUUGCCUCCAUCCACAGCAGCAGCAAAAGAAAGAGGGCUGCCUGCUCUGCUCUUACCUGAGAGGACUGUCUUUAAACACGGUGCCCUGGCUUCCUGCCACGGAGCUCGCACCACUGCUGCUGCUGCCGCCAUCGUUAUCAUCCUGAGAGUAGCGAGUGAGGCGCUGGCUUCGUCUUGACAUGAUGGGGCAGGUCACAAUCUCUGGUUUGCUACAUCCCGCGCGGAAACCCUUCCCACCAUAUUCUGCAGCCCCUCAGCACACUGUGCUGUGACACCUUGAUGUGACAAUGACAAUGAUAAAUGACUACUGGCUACUUAAUUCCUUUCCUACUCAUUAAUGAACCUGGCACAAGCAAGGCGGCCAUCAUCACCCAUCUACAGGGAAGAACCUGGAAUGCUAGCCUGCAGGUGAGAGCCAGGUCUCUCUGCUCAGACCUGACAGGCUGCAGGGCCUGGACAUUUGCAUUCCAUCAGAAGGUUUGCAAGUUGUUUGUUUGGGGAGUGUUACAGCUCCAUAUAGCAUGCACUUGGAACAUGGCUGUAAACUGCGUGGUUACAUAGCAGUUACACAACCAAUAUUUGUUAACAGAAGUAAGGCAGGAGGUGGAGCUGUUGUGUGGUGUUGCAGUCAGUCUAGCCUAUAGAACAGUUACAGUCACCACAUGGGGUGGAGUGAAACUGAUAAGAAGACCAAGGUGAAAACAACAAAUGAAGAUAAACAAAUCUUUCACGCACGGGGACCCAGUUUCAAAUCUCAGAAUAUCAACCCAGGAAUCUCACCGAGCCUGGGCUAGCAGGAUUACAAAACUUUAGAUCCCAAACCCAUCCAAAAAGAGUUCCUGGGACUUGUGACUUGGUAUUGUUUCUGCUAUUCCUGGUGGAUAGUGACCUCGCAUGGUGGGAAACACCCAAACCCAGACCACAGAAACCAGAAGGUCAGGUUCAUCCAGCUAGAAAGACAAGUAGCCUCCUGUCUGGGCUAACUGGCAUCUUCCCAGGUGGGAUGCCCAUCUGGCAUCUCUCACUCUCUUUGGUGUUGGUAAAGGGACCAACUGGUAGUAGCCAAAGCAGGAAGUUGCCUUGGUCCUGGGUUGUAUUCCCGUCCUUCUAAGGUAGUUCCCCCCAUGACUGCCACCCCACCUGACAGCUCCAGAUGCCCACAUGCUCCACCUCUUAACCCCUGCCCCGCUGUAGCACAUGAAGCCUUUGCCAGGGGGGAAAAGAGUGUAACAUGUUUAUACAGUGCCCACGCCGCCGUUGCGAGAAUCUAAACGUUCUGAGUAGGUGGAGAGGUGGGGCACCGAACAUUGCCCGUGUGCCACCUCCCAGCACUCCCAGAGCGGUGUGGACCUUAUCUUUAUCUUUCAUAUUCAUCCUGUUGUCACAAAAUAGUUUGCCACAGCGGCCAUCCAGGUUACACAAGAUGACAAAGGUCUACCGUGGGGAGCCGCUGAGAUAGACACUCCUCCAUCCCGGCAUUAGUUACAAAACCCUCAAAUAAAACAUACUUUCCUACUGC
ensembl:processed_transcript